GGGUUGUGAGGUUAAGCGACUAAGCGUACACGGUGGAUGCCCUGGCAGUCAGAGGCGAUGAAGGACGUGCUAAUCUGCGAUAAGCGUCGGUGAGGUGAUAUGAACCGUUAUAACCGGCGAUUUCCGAAUGGGGAAACCCAGUGUGUUUCGACACACUAUCAUUAACUGAAUCCAUAGGUUAAUGAGGCGAACCGGGGGAACUGAAACAUCUAAGUACCCCGAGGAAAAGAAAUCAACCGAGAUUCCCCCAGUAGCGGCGAGCGAACGGGGAGGAGCCCAGAGUCUGAAUCAGUGUGUGUGUUAGUGGAAGCGUCUGGAAAGGCG
rnacentral:rRNA from 1 species